rnacentral:tRNA from 1 species
GCCGGGUUGGCGGAACGGCAUACGCAGUGGCCUCAAAAGCCACCGUCCGAAAGGAAUUGUGGGUUCGAAUCCCACACCCGGCA